rnacentral:rRNA from 1 species
UCGAUGGUAGUAUAGAGGACUACCAUGGUGAUAACGGGUAACGGGGAAUUAGGGUCCGAUUCCGGAGAGGGGGCCUGAGAAAUGGCCACCACUUCCAAGGAAGGCAGCAGGCGCGCAAAUUAUCCAAUCCUAAUUCAGGGAGAUAGUGACAAGAAAUACCAAUACAGGACCAAUGGUGCUGUGUUUGGAAUGAGUGUAAUUUAAAAACCUUAUCGAGGAACCAUUGGAGGGCAAGUCUGGUGCCAGCAGCCGCGGUAAUUCCAGCUCCAAUAGUGUAUACUAAAGUUGCUGCAGUUAAAAAGCCCGUAGUUGGAUUUCGGUUAAUAGGAUGAUAGUCUACUUUCUAUAAGUACGCACUGCCAACCUAUUUCCUUCUUUUCGGAUAUACUAUUUUAUAGUGUUCCGAAUCUUUUACUUUGAGAAAAUUAGAGUGUUCAAAGCAGGCGUAAACAAGCCUUUGAAUAUAUUAGCAUGGGAUAAUGAAAUAAGACUUUUUGCCUUAUUCUCGUUGGUUUCUGAGGCUAAAGUAAUGAUUAAUAGGGAUAGUUGGGGUCAUUAGUAUUUAAUUGUCAGAGGUGAAAUUCUAAGAUUUAUUAAAGACUAACUACUGCGAAAGCAUUUGACAAGGAUGUUUUCAUUAAUCAAGAACGAAAGUUGGGGGAUCGAAGAUGAUCAGAUACCGUCGUAGUCUCAACCAUAAACUAUGCCGACCAAGGAUUCGGGGGUGUUAUAUGAAUGACCCUCCGGGCACUUAUAGAGAAAUCAUAAGUAUUUGGGUUCCGGGGGGAGUAUGGUCGCAAGGCUGAAACUUAAAGGAAUUGACGGAAGGGCACCACAAGGAGUGGAACUUGCGGUUUAAUUUGACCCAACACGGGAAAACUUACCAGGUCCAGACACAGUGAGGAUUGACAGAUUGAGAGCUCUUUCUUGAUUUUGUGGGUGGUGGUGCAUGGCCGUUUCUAGUUGGUGGAGUGAUUUGUCUGGUUAAUUCCGUUAACGAACGAGACCUUAACCUAUUAAAUAGUUACACGAACCUGGACUUCGGUCCAAUCGUUCGUGGGUAACUUCUUAGAGGGACUCUUCACGUAAAUAGUGAAUGGAAGUUUGAGGCAAAAACAGGUCUGUGAUGCCCUUAGAUGUUCUGGGCUACACGCGUGUUACACUGACAUAUUCAACAAGCAUUAUUAUUCCUUACCCGAUGGGGUUGGGUAAUCUUUUAAAUGUAUGUCGUGAUGGGGAUAGAGCCUUGUAAUUAUUGCUCUUGGACGAGGAAUUCCUAGUAAGUGCAGGUCAUCAACCUGCGCUGAUUACGUCCCUGCCCUUUGUACACACCGCCCGUCGCUCCUACCGAUGAAUGGUCCGGUGAGGACUCAGGAUGACCUUGGAUUUUGGUUAUAAAAUGCCAUUCCAUUGUUUUGUCAGAAUUUGUUCAAACCUUAUCAUUUAAAGGAAGGAGAAGUCGUAACAAGGUU